rnacentral:rRNA from 1 species
AUGCAAGUCGAGCGAACAGACGAGGAGCUUGCUCCUCUGACGUUAGCGGCGGACGGGUGAGUAACACGUGGAUAACCUACCUAUAAGACUGGGUAUAACUUCGGUGAAACCGGAGCUAAUACCGGAUAACAUGUUGAACCGCAUGGUUCAACAGUGAAAGACGGUCUUGCUGUCACUUAUAGAUGGAUCCGCGCCGCAUUAGCUAGUUGGUAAGGUAACGGCUUACCAAGGCAACGAUGCGUAGCCGACCUGAGAGGGUGAUCGGCCACACUGGAACUGAGACACGGUCCAGACUCCUACGGGAGGCAGCAGUAGGGAAUCUUCCGCAAUGGGCGAAAGCCUGACGGAGCAACGCCGCGUGAGUGAAGAAGGUCUUCGGAUCGUAAAACUCUGUUAUUAGGGAAGAACAAAUGUGUAAGUAACUAUGCACGUCUUGACGGUACCUAAUCAGAAAGCCACGGCUAACUACGUGCCAGCAGCCGCGGUAAUACAAU